rnacentral:rRNA from 1 species
GAUGAACGCUGGCGGCGUGCCUAAUACGUGCAAGUCGAGCGAACCAAUUAAGAGCUUGCUCUUAAGAAGUUAGCGGCGGACGGGUGAGUAACACGUGGGUAACCUGCCUAUAAGACUGGGAUAACUCCGGGAAACCGGGGCUAAUACCGGAUAACAUUUUGCACCGCAUGGUGCGAAAUUGAAAGGCGGCUUCGGCUGUCACUUAUAGAUGGACCUGCGGCGCAUUAGCUAGUUGGUGAGGUAACGGCUCACCAAGGCGACGAUGCGUAGCCGACCUGAGAGGGUGAUCGGCCACACUGGGACUGAGACACGGCCCAGACUCCUACGGGAGGCAGCAGUAGGGAAUCUUCCGCAAUGGACGAAAGUCUGACGGAGCAACGCAGCGUGAACGAUGAAGGCUUUCGGGUCGUAAAGUUCUGUUGUUAGGGAAGAACAAGUGCUAGUUGAAUAAGCUGGCACCUUGACGGUACCUAACCAGAAAGCCACGGCUAACUACGUGCCAGCCGCCGCGGUAAUAC